UUCACUGUGUUAGCCAGGAUGGUCUCAAUCUCCUGACCUCAUGAUCCACCCGCCUCGGCCUCCCAAAGUGCUGGAAUUAUAGAUGUGAGCCACCACACCCGGCCGUUAUUAUUUUCUUGAUAAAUUGAUUCCUUUAUCAUUAUAGUGACCUUCUUGUUUCCUGGACUUUUUGUUUUGAAAUCUAUUUUGUCUGAUAUAAGUAUAGCUACUCCUGCUUUAUCUUGUUUCUGUCGGCAUGGAAUAGCUUUUUCCAUCUGUUUAUACAGUCCAUGUGUGCAUGCAUAGGUAAAAUGUAGGCAACAGAUCACUGGGUAUCUUUUUUAAAAAAUCCAUUUAAACACUCUAUGUUGUUUGAUAGGAGAGUGAUAUGGUUAGGUUCUGUGUUCCCAACCAAAUCUCUUCCUGAAUUUGUAAUCCCCAGGUGUUGAGGGAGAGACCUGGUGGGAGGUGAUUCGAUCAUGGAGAUAGUUUUCCCCAUGCUGUUCUUGUGAUAAUGUGUGAGUUCUCACAGGAUUUGAUGGUUUUUUAAGUGUUUGACAUUUUCUCCUAUACACACUCUCUCUGUCUCUCCCAUCCACAGUGAAGAAGGUGCCAGCUUCCCCUUCUGCCAUGAUUGUAAGCUUCCUGAGGCUUCCCCAGUCAGGUGGAACUGUGAGUCAAUGAAACCUCCUUUGUUUAUAAAUUACCCAGUUGCAGGUAGUAUUUUUAUUGCAGUGUGAAAAUGAACUAAUACAGUAAAUUGUUAUCUCAGAAAGUGGGGUACUGCUAUGAAGAGUGGGUAUCCAAAAAUGUGAAAGCGACUUUGGAACUGGGUAUCAGGCAGAAGUUGGAACAGUUUGGAGGGCUCAGAGGAAGACAGAAAGAUGUGGGAAAGUUUGGAAAUUCUUAGAGACUUGUUGAAUGGUUUUGACCAAAAUGCUAUUAUGGUCAAUGAAGUCCAGGCUGAGGUUGUCUCAGAUGAAGAUUAGGAAGCCCCCACACAGAGUUCCCACUAGGGCAUUGCCUACUGGGGCUGUGAGAAGAGGGCCACUGUCUUCCAGAUCCCAGAAUGGUAGAUGCACUGAGAGUUUGCACCAUGCACCUGGAAAAGCCACAGACGCUCAAUGCCAGCCAUGAAAGCAGCCGUGAAAGCAGCUGUGGAGUCUGUACCCGGCAAAGGCAUAGGGGCAGAGCUGUCCAGGGCCAUGGGAGCCCACCUCUUGCAUCGGCAUGAACUGGAUGUGAGUCAUGGGGUCAAAAGAGAUUAUUUUGGAGCUUUAAGAUUUAAUGACUGCCCCACUGGGUUUUGAACUCAUAUGGGGCCUGUAGCCUUUGUUUUGGCCAAUUUCUCUUAUUUGGAAUGGGAGCCUUUACCCAAUGCCUGUACCCCCAUUGUAUCUAGGAUGUAACUAACUUGCUUUUUUACAGGCUAAUAGGCAGAAGAGACUUGCCUUGUCUCAGAUGAGACUUCAGACUAUGUACUUUUGAGUAAAUGCUGAAAUGAGUUAAGACUUUGGGGGACUGUUGGGAAAGCAUGAUUAGUUUUAAAAUGUGAAAAGGCAUGAGAUUUGGGAAGGGCUGGGGCAGAAUUAUAUGGUUAAGCUUUGUGUCCCCACCCAAAUCUCAUCUUGACUUGUAAUCCCCAGGUGUUGAGGGAUAAACCUGGUGGGAGGUGAUUGGAUCACUGGGGCGGUUUCCCUCAUGCUGUUCUCAUGAUAAUGCAUGAGUUCUCAUGAGAUCUGAUGGUUUUAUAAGUUUGACAUUUGCUCCUACAGACACUCUCUCUGUCUCUCCUGCCACCUUAUGAAGAAGGUGCCUGCUUCCCCUUCUGCCAUGAUCGUAAGUUCUCUGAGACCUCCCCAGCCAGCGGAAACAUUUUCUCAAGAGGGAUUUGCAGAGACAGGAUGCUAUGAAAUUACCUCUCCCAUGCCCUCCACAGUACUAAGACUGAGGUACCUGUCUACAUCAAAAGAUGAGUACUACAAUGCAGAUGACUUAGCCAGUUGGCUGACUAGGGAUGUUGGAUGCCAGGUCUCCUCAGAAAGAUCAAAGUUACAGGUGAAUGCCCAUGAUUUAAAUGGAAAUCUGAGGGAAUGAAGCAAGGACCUGUUGGAGCACCCAUGGGAAGAACCUGGGGCACAAAAGAGGAAAGCAGCAAGAGACUGACAGAGAUUGUCUCCCUAGAAACCUGGACCACGAAAAGGGUGGAGAGGAGAAAACUCUGUGCUAAAUAUUACUCCUGGAAAAGUGCAUUUGCUUCGGAGAAAUCUUUAUCAUGGGUCUCUAAGAGGAAGGAACAAUAGCAUCUUCUAUGUGCCGAGGUAGCGCAAUAAUGAACUCUGUUCAAGUGGAUCAAAAGCCAUCAAGGUCAAAAUUAGGCACAGGCUGUACAGGAAGCGUGAUUCUGGCAUCUGUUUGGUUUCUGGGAAGGCCUCAGGAAACUUAAAGUCAUGGAAGAAGGGGAAGGGAGAGCAGGCACGUCUUACAUGACCAAAGCAGGAAGAAGAGAGAGAAGUGUGGAGGUGCUAUACACUUUUAAACAGCCAGAUCUUGUGAGAACUCUGUCAGAAGAACAGCACUAGGGAAAUGGUGCUAAACCAUUCUUGGGGACUCCAUCCCUGUGAUACAAUCACCUCCCACCAGGCCCCACCUCCAACACUGAGAAUUACAACUCAACAUGAGAUUUGGAUGGGGACACAGAUCCAAACCAUAUCAAAUUUUCACACCUUUCAGUAAAGCUUUAUAUUUUUUAAGGAUAUUUAAGUACUUGGAAGUAGAAGUAGAGAGUAAGGGGAAUAUUGUACAGCCAUCACAGCCUUUGUCUACUAAAGAAGUCAGUUUCAUGUGACAAAUGUUCAUUUUAAUAUUCGCUUCUUCAGUCCAUCUGGGGGUGUUUCCUUAUUUCUAUAAGAUGCUGCUUUUCAAAAAAAUUACCGAAAGCAUUCUGGAAAUCCAAGAGUAAUUGUGUGAACUAUAAGCAUUAGAAAACACAGACAUAAGUUGAAAAUAUUUAUGAACCUAAAUAGAUGUAAAGCUAGUGACUCAUAUUUUAUAAUGUAUUCACAGAUGAUAUUUCUUAAAUAAAGUAGGCAUUUCUUUAAAAUAAAAACUCUAAUAAUAUAUGUUAUUAAGAAGAAAACUAGAAAAGGAAGAAAAAAAGUGAUGGUAUGUUUGGAAGAUGCUGAGGUGAGCUGGUGAUAAAAUUAUCUCCACUGAAAAAGGAAUACAAAGAGCAGACACUGAAUAAGCCAGACAAUGUUUGAGUUUUUUCUGAAACCACUGUGCAGUUUUGGACUUUGACCUGAUUUAAUUUUCACCUCUGUUCUUCCUCCCACUCCUUCUCUUCCUUCAUCUCAUCCUCCUCUGCCUUUUACCUCUUUUAAAAAUUGCAUUUUGCAAACAAAUACAUGUUUGCCAUCAAUGAAACUAUUUCAAGAGUUCUAUAGAGAUCAAAAUGAAGGGCUUCCUGCGUUGAUGGUUAAUUCUACCAUCUUCCCCAGGUGCAACAGCUGUUAGCAGUAUAGCCUUCAGUUACCAGUUUCAGGCAUUUACCUAUGCGUCUGAACAAAUGCAUUAAAAAAUAAUGAACACACAUGCAAACUGGUUUGUUUCCAUUUUACUUAGCUCUGUAAGGUGCCAUGUUUUACAUAUUCUGCAAAUUCUCCCCAUGUACAAUACACAUAAACCCAGUAUUAUUUUUAACAUCUCCAAUAUUUUGGUACACUUCAAUUUAUUUACCACUUGUUCCCAAUUCUUGGUGAUAUCAAUGUGUCAAGCUCUUUCAAAAGAACUUUGGUUUAUCAUCCGCCUUUCACCCUGACCAUUUAUAUGUUCAUUUUGCUUUGACAAGCAGGACUUGACUUCUUUCAGCUUCCUGACUCACUUGGAAUUGUAUCAACAGGUGACUGUUAUG
rnacentral:lncRNA from 10 species